UAUGCAUCUCUCUAACUUCCUUAACUAAAUCGUGAAGUUCACCAUCAUACAAACUUAUAUUCAUUAUCGUCAUCAUACAUCUUUUCUAUAAAUUAGUCAUUAAUUGUCUUCUUUCAAGAUGACCAAUAUUAUCCAGAAGAAGUUCAAGGUUUCUUCAACACAACUGUUAUAUAUAUCAAUGGGGUAAAUUAUUCUUAUUAUUCAUUAUUCUCAGAUAUCUCGAUUUACAUUCCGUGUACCAAUGGGGUUUUUGUCAUUGCUGGGUUUUCAUCCGCCAACAUUCAUGUCAAAAAUUUAAGACACAAAGGAAGGAAUGGGUAAAGAAGAUCAUGCGUACAAUUACAAAUUUAAUAUGAUUUAUACUUUUGUUAUUUUAGGAACACUUGUUAGAGUUGACACGCAAGGAUCGUGUAAAUCUGUUUAGUUUGCUAUAAUUCAUCAACUAAUGAAAUAAGUUACACCCGUUGAAUUUAAGGUAAUAAAUCAUGUAUCUCAAUUUUUAAAACUGAUGAA